rnacentral:lncRNA from 1 species
AUCAAGGAUCUGCACCAGAAAGGCCCAGGGGUUAGUGGUGGAAGCUAGAAAGUCUGUGCUGUCAGGGUGAAGGGUCUGUGUCACCAGGCUGAGGCAUCUGCACUGGAGCCAGGAAGCAAUGCUCAAGGUGAAGACCAGAGCUGCCCUGAUGAGGACAGCGGCCAUUGCCAGCGACAGCAAGGCCCUGAGCUCCUCCCAUGUGGAGAACAGCUGAGUUCCCUUCAGAAAAACCAGCUGGCCCAAGCUUCUCCAGGAAAAUCAACAGAAUACAAUCUUCCCCUCCAGUUCUCCUCUUAUGCCUUUGGCAACAGUUCUCAGGUCACUCUGCUGGAGACUCAAAGUCAGACACACUGGGCCAAGGGCCUGCCUCUGCCCUGCGGCUGCCCUGCCUGAGGUCCCACCACACCUGUCCCCCAUGAGGGAGGAUAACUGAGCAACGGUGGAGGCAUGCUCGGAAUGGAUUCAGAAGAGCCAACACACAGGUUUACCCCUUCACCUAGAGAAGAGGAAGCUAACAUGUAGGGAGAACACUGCAGCUGUCUGGAAAUGAGGGAAGGCCACAUGGACCCCAGGAUGCAACUGCUGCAUGACUCUCUAGAGGUCUCUGGACACCUCCAGGAAAGGAACUGAUGUCUCACAGGAGCAGCAUUUUGCCCAAGACCACCAGUAAGGUUAGAGCCGAGCAGCUCUAGAGAAGAAAAGAAACUUCUAGAUGCCCACCGAAGAGAGUGACGGCCAAGGUCUGCUGGGAGAAGACAGCACUGCUGCAGGUAAGGGAGGCCAGUCCAGCAGUUACCACCACCCUGGCACUCUGCAGCCCUCAGCUCUGUGCCGAGGACUGUGCCACCCGCCUGUAGGACUAACCAGGCAUUCUUAAACACAAGCCAGGAGCUUCAUGAUUGGAUCCCUUCUACACAUAAGGAAACUGAGGGACAGGCAAGUGAAAGACCUCACCUAAGAGCGCCCACCCAGGAGGUGGCCACACACAAGAACCCAGGUCUGAAAGAUGUGAAAAAUCUGUGCAAAAACUAAAGCAAUUGGAGGCGACUGUUUUGUUCUCUAUUUUGUUUUCCAUGAAAUUCAAGGCUGGGUGGGUAAAGAAAGGAAUGUGAUAAAAUUGCUCCAGCCUGGAGCUUUUCCCAGAGCCCCGAGGCAGAGAACCAAAUUGUGCAGACACACCCUCACCGGCCUGGGAGCUCUGUUACGCUGCCCUGCCACCGCCCGCUUCCUGUUGGCACCUCUCAAAUUU